CUCCACCCCAGAGUGGUCCCACAGGAGAAGUGGCACUGGGAAGAUAUUUAUGACCUAGAGAAUUAUUAACUGGAAAUCAUCGGUGGGAAGAAAAUGUGGGAAGCUGAACCUCUCACUUUGGGGGUGAGCAGGGGUGCCACGGUCUCCUGGAGCUGAUUUCCACCAGGGAAAACAUCAUUAUUCCCAGCUGGCAGGGGCUGCAGGUAAACAGCACGAGCUCCUUUCUCUUCAGAACUCAAAUCCUCCAAGCUGUCCUCAUCCAAGCUGUCAUCCUCCAGGCUGUCACCAGCCUCCUGCCCCAGCAGCUCCCGAUUUUGCAGGAUGC